GUGAUGAUAUUGCACAAUGGAGGAACUCUGAUGCAGCAACGCCGCGUGGAGGAUGACGCAUUUCGGUGUGUAAACUCCUUUUAUAUGUCAAGAAAAUGACGGUAGCAUAUGAAUAAGCGCCGGCUAACUCCGUGCCAGCAGCCGCGGUAAUACGGAGGGCGCAAGCGUUACUCGGAAUCACUGGGCNGUAAAGGACGCNGUAGGCNGGGUUGUCAAGUCUGAUGUGAAAUCCUACAGCUUAACUGUAGAACUGCAUUGGAAACUGGCAACCUAGAGUAUGGGAGGGGGAGAUGGAAUUAGUGGUGUAGGGGUAAAAUCCGUAGAUAUCACUAGGAGUACCUAAAGCGAAGGCGAUCUCCUGGAACAUUACUGACACUAAGGCGUGAAAGCGUGGGUAGCAAACGGGAUUAGAUACCCCGGUAGUCCACGCCCUAAACGAUGAACACUANUCGUCGCGAUGCUUGUCAUUGCGGUGAUGCACCUAACGGAUUAAGUGUUCCGCCUGGGGAGUACGGNCGCAAGAUUAAAACUCANAGGAAUANACGGNGACCCGCACAAGUGGNGGAGCAUGUGGNUUAAUUNNACNAUNCNCNAANAACCUUACCUGNCCUUGACAUUGAAAGAAUANCU
rnacentral:rRNA from 1 species